rnacentral:rRNA from 1 species
CCAAGGAGUUUAGCGUGUACGCGAGUCAUUGGGUGUCAAAACCUAAAGGCGUAAUGAAAGUGAAGGGAACUCUGCUUUUCGAGGGAGGAUGGGUUAGGCUCCUUUAUCAGGGCCGGCCUCGCACUCCCGGGGCGUCUCUAUCUCAUUGCGAGAGGAGGCGCACCUAGAGCGUACACGCUGAUACCCGAAAGAUGGUGAACUAUGCCUGGCCAGGACGAAGCCAGGGGAAACCCUGGUGGAGGUCCGCAGCGAUUCUGACGUGCAAAUCGAUCGUCGGAGCUGGGUUUAGGGGCGAAAGACCAAUCGAACCAUCUAGUAGCUGGUUCCCUCUGAAGUUUCCCUCAGGAUAGCUUGCGCUCGGAUGUAACGAGUCUCAUCCGGUAGAGCGAAUGAUUAGAGGCCUUGGGGUCGAAACGACCUCAACCUAUUCUCAAACUCCAAAUAGAUGAGAACCCCGGCUUUCUUGAACUUUGUUUAUGAAGCCGGGGGCUCGGAUCAGAGUGCCAAGUGGGCCAAUUUU